rnacentral:tRNA from 1 species
GGGGUAGCACCUGGCAGUGUCGGCCCGUCAAGCCGGAGAUCGCGGCUUCGAAUUCCGCCGCUCCCG